CGGGCCUAAUUCAAAACCAAAAUGAUCUGUCAUCUGUGUGUUGCAACGGUAGCGUUCUCAAUUUUCCGAAGAGGGAAAAUGUUGAUUCGACGAUUACCUUGGUCGGCGAUUUCUGUCGCCACAUUAUUUCCCCGUCGUUCCGGUGGUUCAAAUGGACUUCGCAUUCCCGUUCGCAAGCAACUUAACUCUUCUCCCUACCCCUUCUGCUAUAGCUCCGGCAUCAAUCUCCCUCCACAACCGGGUCACGAAACGGAUAUUCGUCACUCGCAAUCUCUGAAACCCGGUCUUUACCUUGUCGGAACACCGAUCGGAAAUCUCGAAGAUAUCACUCUGAGGGCUCUUCGCGUGCUGAAUUCAGCUGAUGUUAUACUCUCGGAGGACACGAGGCAUUCGGGGAAGUUGCUUCAUCACUAUAACAUCAAAACGCCUCUCAUGAGUUAUCACAAAUACAACGAAUCGCAAAGGGAACAGGUUGUGCUGAGGAGGUUAAAGAAAGGUGAUGUCGUGGCUCUUAUAAGUGAUGCUGGAAUGCCAGGCAUCAGUGAUCCGGGUAUGGAGUUGGCAAAAUUGUGUGUUAGUGAGAAUAUCCUGGUUGUGCCAAUCCCUGGUCCUUGUGCUUUGGUGUCGGCACUUUCUGCCUCGGGCUUACCUACUGAUGAAUUUACAUUCGUUGGUUUUCUUCCUAAACAUUCUGGUUCUAGAAAAAAAAGGCUUAUGGUUUCAGCUGAUCAAACUACUACACAGAUAUUUUACGUUCCUCCUCACAAGCUUUCUCAGUUUCUUGACGAGAGUUCUUCAAUUUUUGGUGAUGCAAGGAAAUGUGUUAUUGCUCGGGAAAUGACUAAGUUACAUGAAGAGUUUUGGCGUGGUACACUUGGUGAAGCCAAGGAAGUAUUUUCUAUUCGUCAAGUGAAGGGAGAACUUACUAUAUUGAUUCAGGGGCAAGCAAAUUCUAAAGUUGAACCUCCAUCAGACAUUGAGCUUGAGAGUGAACUUAGAGAACUGAUUUCAAGUGGCGAGAGUCUUUCCAUGGCUGUCAAGUUGGUCACCAGCAAAACAUCAGUGAGUAGGAAAACUAUAUAUUCACUGGCAUUAAGGAAGUUUGGGAAGCAACUCGAAGUGGAAGAUGAUUAAAAUUAGCGUGGAUUAUUUCUGCUGCGAAAGAGAUUCUCUGCUCAAACUUUCAACCGGGAUGGUGAUGGAUGGAAUGAAAUGAUCCAUCCCUGCUGUUCUAGUUUUAUUACCGAUCAUAUUAAGAAUGGUUGGGCUGGUAUGCCAGUUUUCAACAUUGUAUUCCUCUCUACCAAGGUUCUGGUUUUCAUGACGCAACAAAACUGAUUGUAAAUGUUUACUCUGGGCAAGAUAGCUGUUGGGCUGGAUCGGAUCGUGCCGGCGAGGCAAAUGAAUGGCAAAGCUGAAUUCCAUAUUGCUUUAGCAUCUGGCGCCAAUUUUAUCAGGAUUCAUUUCAGCCCUUUCCUUUGGGCUUUAGCUGAAGUAGUAAAAUAUAUGACAUUUGUUGCCAAUGAAGAAUAUAAGUAGUUCUACCCUCCUCUUGACCCACAUUCACCACAAGAAAACCAAUAACACCCAGGUUUCUUCGUACUGGUUCGGUCGUUUGUUCUGUUGCAAUGAUCAUCCGUGUGGAUGUGUGAGCAGAAGGAGAAGAGCUGCUGGAAGAAGCGCUAGAAGAAGAAAAUUUGGUUGAGGU